rnacentral:lncRNA from 1 species
GAAUAUUGAUACCAAACAUAAAUACCAAAUAAUACAUGAACCCUUUCAAAUUUAGUAACAAAAUUAGAAUGCAUAAAAUCGUUCAUUUAAGUCGGUUUAUCUCUAUCUAUUACAGCUGCUCUUUUUUUCUUUGGGUGAAUCGCAGUUCAACCAAUGUCCCAUGGCCAUAUAUUAGCCACUAGAAUCCACGUUUCCACCUUGUGGCGGAUGAUACUAUACGCCUUUUGUC